GCAUUACUGAGGAGCCCCGUAAUAGGGCGAAACGGCCGUUCAAUGC
rnacentral:hammerhead_ribozyme from 1 species